rnacentral:rRNA from 1 species
CUUGCUAAGUUUGAUGGCGACCGGCGCACGGGUGAGUAACACGUAUCCAACCUGCCGAUGACUCGGGGGUAGCCUUUCGAAAGAAAGAUUAAUACCCGAUGGCAUAGUUCUUCCGCAUGGUAGAACUAUUAAAGAAUUUCGGUCAUCGAUGGGGAUGCGUUCCAUUAGGUUGUUGGCGGGGUAACGGCCCACCAAGCCUUCGAUGGAUAGGGGUUCUGAGAGGAAGGUCCCCCACAUUGGAACUGAGACACGGUCCAAACUCCUACGGGAGGCAGCAUG